ensembl:lncRNA
CAGCUUCUCCUGCAUUCCAGACAACCACUGCUGACAGCAUGGCUGCCUGGGGUCCCUGUGGUGACUGUGUCUUCCUCCAGAGUGGCUGGUCCCUACAGGUUGGGAUAUCAGUGUCCCUAUGACUCCUUUUCAGAAAUCAUGAUGUGAGUGACCACAGUCUGGGAAGGCAGACCUUUGCUGCAUGCCCAUUCCCAGUCUGUUGCCAUCCCAUGCCCUCCACCCAUUUCUACCUUCUACUUGCUGCCAUCCUCCCGUCAAUUGCCACAUCUUUCAUAUCCAAAGACGAUGCUCUUAGCAGUGACUGGAGCAUGAGGAAAGCUGGGAACAAUAGUGAAGUGAAGUGAAGUGAAGUGAAGUGAAUGACUAACACUUUCAGUUUUUCGCAAAAUACACAUAAGAUAAAUUUCCCAUUUUAUAAACAUUUUGAAGAGCACAGUUGGGGGCACUGAGCACACACACAGGCUGCACAACAGUCACCAUUCAGCACGUCCAGAACUUUCCUGCCAUCUCGAGGCCUCUGCUGACCCCCGUUCUCCCGCCAGUCCUGACCCCCUCCCUCCUGCUGGCAGGGAUGGCAGGCCGCACAAGCAGGCUUUCCACUUCCGAGGGGAGGGAGGUUUGCAGUGAUCCACCGCUGAGGUUCACUGUCUGCUGCAAAGGCCCAGAACGGCUGUGCAGACGAUGAGCUAGAACGACGGCAUGAAAGGGAGUUUAUCAAUAGUACCUGGAGCUCAGUAAUUCAUAAACCUUUCAUUAGUUUUCCAUCGAUGACGGCUCAAGUUCUAGAAGUAGAUUUAGGCUGGCAAGACAGCCGUCUCCAUAAAUCAUCAUCUCCGAACAUUAGGGAAGUGGAGGGAGCCUUUUUAUAGGAUUUCCCAGCAGCUCACUUGGGAAGCUUUGCUUUCUAAUCCCCCCCCCCCUUUUUUUUAAUUAGAAAAAAAAAUUUAAGUUUUAAUUGAAAAGUGAUUGCUAUACUAUGUUGUAAAUGUUAGUCUCUGCUGUACAACAACGUGAGUCAUGUGAUGUAUACAUAUAUUUCCUCCCUCUUGAGCCUCCCUUCUACCCCCCACUCCCAUCACACUUCUCUAGGUCACCACAGAGCACAAGCUGAGGUCUCUGUGCUAUGCAGCAGCUUCCCACUAGCUAUCUAUUUAUAUGAUCGUGUGUGUGUAUAUAUAUAUAUAUAUAUAUGGGCUUCCCUGAUAG